rnacentral:rRNA from 1 species
UUAAUAGUAAGAUCUGCUCCAUGAUAACUAAAUAGCCGCAAUUUGUGCUAAGGUAGCAUAAUCAUUUGUCUUUUAAAUGAAGACUAGAACAAAAGAUUUAACAUUUUAAUCUAUAUAUUUUAUUUAUAAUUCUUAAUUUUUGUAAAUGUAAAAAAACAUUUAUAUUUUAGAUAGACGACAAGACCCUAUUGAACUUAACUUCAGUUAAACUGGGGAAGUAAAUUAAUUAUAAUUUUAAUAUAAAUAUCUAUAUAAAUAUCUAAAUAAUUAAUAAUUCAGUUACCAUAGGGAUAACAGCGCAAUUAUAUUUUAAAGUUCAUAUAUAAGAUAUAGAUUACGACCUCGAUGUUGAAUUAAUAAACUAAUUAAAGCAAAUUUUAAAAAAGAAAGUCUGUUCGACUUAUAACAAAUUACAUGAUUUGAGUUCAGACCGGUAUAAGCCAGGUCGGCUUCCAUCUUCUAUAAAAAAUUUUACAGUACGAAAGGACCUAAAAACUUAAUUAAAUUAAUUUAUUAGCAAAUAAAUGCAUUAGAAUUAGAAUCUAAAAAAACU